rnacentral:rRNA from 1 species
AUACCGGCAGCCCGAGUGGUGAUCACUAUUAUUGGGCCUAAAACGUCCGUAGCCGGUCCGGUAAAUCUUCGGGUAAAUCGGCCGGCCUAACCGGUCGAAUUCCGGAGACACUGCCGGACUUGGGACCGGGCGAGGGCGGAGGUACUCCCGGGGGAGGGGUGAAAUCCUUUAAGCCCGGGAGGACCACCGGUGGCGAAGGCGUCCGCCUAGAACGGCUCCGACGGUAAGGGACGAAACCCUGGGGCGCAAACGGGAGUAGAAACCCUAGUAGUCC